rnacentral:lncRNA from 1 species
AAGAAUUUAUCAAUCCCACCAACUAGCGUUAUUGCUAAUAAUACGCGUUACGACUGGCGAACAAAAAGAAGCAACUAGUGCGUGGGAUUGAAAAGUUCCACCAACUAGUGUUUUUCCGUCGAUUCUUCUCAACCUUCAUCUUUGAGUUGGACGGUUGUUGCCGGUUCAAAAGGUUGAUAAAGUCAAUAAAAGAUGUAUAUUAAUUAAUUAAUUGCAUUAUGAAAUAGAACACAAAUAAGACCUUUCACGCAGCACUUAUCCUUUCCAGAUGCUGUCCAUAUAGUCUAAUUACCGGC